rnacentral:tRNA from 1 species
GGAGAGAUGGCCGAGUGGUUUAAGGCGCACCCCUGGAAAGGGUGUAUAGGGGGAACCUUAUCGCGAGUUCGAAUCUCGCUCUCUCCGCCA